UCCCAGGCGAGCACCACCCGGCCGGACCCGUGGCCCGAUUGCUGCGAAGACGUCCCCCUCCCUUCUGAACCGUGUGCGUCCCUCCACGCCCGUCCUGUCCUGGACACACGAGCCCAUAAAAGCGCUCCCCACGCCCCGCUGCACACAGGCCUCUCCCAGGGGACCCUCGGCGACUCUGGGUCUGUACAUCUUCUCAGAUCAGCCGCGGAAGUCGUCUUUGGAACCAGCAAACGGCACUCUGUGCUCGAGAGCGCUCCUUCCUGCUGCACGCGCCGUGUGGCUGGCCUUCGCCCUCGCCUCGGGCUGCCCUGCAUCUGUCCUCCGCCCUCGGCCACACACCCCUGCGCCCUCCCAGCUGGGGCUCCCGGGGAGCAGGCUCUCGGGAUUGGCUCCAGGACUGCCGGAAAUGAAGUCUUUAAUUCAGUAGAUGGCACUCUUACCUCUGAAUCCACAGAGCACCGCGCUUCUCCCACACGCACACACACCUGACAAAGAGAAGAAAUGACGUUCGUUCUUCUGAUUUUAUUCUUCUCGAAGUCUCCUGAAACUGGGAGAAUGCGGCAAAUUAAAACUUCAAGAAGGCCUUCCUGCGAGGGGAGGAAGCAGAAAUAGAAGCCACCCCGGUCCCGUUAGGUGGAAAUAUUCACUGCCCACGCUGGUGGAUCUCCUUUUGUGGUUCUAGUGAGGAUCCCACUGCACAGAAGGGAGAGAAAUCUGACCGAGUUAAAGAAGGAUUUGUGGGAGAUUUGUGUGUCCUUUGACAUCUGAAACAGGGCCAAACUGCGGCCGGGGCCGGGGUGGGGGGGGUCAGUGUCUCCUCCACCCCUGACCUCGCUGCAGCUAAGGGUGUGUCACAAUCUCUCAUGCAAAGUCGCCAUUCGUGAUUUCCAGGACACCUGGGAGAGAAUGGGUGUCACCCACAGCUGCAGAGUCCGCGGCUGAUUCCCGAUGUCAAGCUCCCAGGAAGGCUCUCCGUGGUCGGGCCGGGGUCACGUGACAUCUCAGGACCAGGCAGCUGUGCCGGGACUCAGGGGUGCACGGUCCCCACGGGUGGCCCCCGAGGUGCCCAGGUGGACGGGGGCGGGUCAAGGUCAGGUGCCGGAGGAGGCAGGCCCGCGUGUCUGCCUUCACGAGCACAGGUGCGCACAUGUGGGGGCUGAGGAGGAGUUUUUAAAAAAGAGGAAUAAAGGCAGAAAAGGGAAGCAUUUCUACUACACAGGAUGUUGUAAUUAUGUAAGUAAAUGAUGUCUCCACGAAUGUGACAUCGUAAGGCCGCUUUUCAGUCUCUGUGGCGUCUCAAACUGUGGUUUGAUACUUUAAUUCCUAGAUUUAUCGCAAUUCAGGGGGAUUAUUUCCACUCCCCCCCGCCCGCCAAAUUUUGAAUAAGUUGUUGAGAUUGGCACGCGUUCAUGCUCAGAAUUCACCGAUUACAGCAUUUUAGCUCACGAUGGGUGAAGGCGUUGCCUCCAUGGCCGACCUGGGCCUGUGCUCUCCUCAACUAAGAGUCCGGAGCAGCCACGGCUAUUUACAAAAGAGGAGUCCCCGUCGGCAGCUAAGAAAACCAACGGCUGUAAUGAUCCGUGCGUCCCCACGGAGCUGGUCGGCACAUUUCCGGGUGACCCUGGGGAGGCAGCGUAUCUCCGAUCUCCGUUGCCCAACGGUCUCUGGGGUGCAGGGCAUGAGUCCUAGGCGGUCAGGAUGUGCCCAGACCCAUCUCCCGGGCACGGCUUCCCUCCCCUCCAACACCAGCCAGUUGGCUCACAGCCUCUUUAGUGGCAGAGGUUGUGAAAUCCUUUCUUCAUAAAUUGGCUUACAUCAACCGAUUAAAAGACGAGAUCAGUCUUCUGAGUUUGCCCCGCG